CACUACUGAAAUAGAACUCCCAGGAGGUAACAGCGUGUCACACAUGUGAUGUCAUAACCAUUGUCCACCAAAGAGCAGCAAUGAGCAGAAAUAACACGGCUCCUGUUCAUUCUCCAUCAGUGAGGGGCCGGUGCUGGACACUGUGUAGGGACGCGGGAAUGCAAAGUCAUACACAUGACUGUGACUGAUGCACUAUCUCCAGGACAUGGAGUAGCAUUUCCGGACCUACAGCAAGACGUUGGAUGAAGGCAUAGCCCCAGAAAUAACACUGGUCCUGUUCAUCAGUGAGGGGCCGGUGCUGGACACUGUGUAGGGACACGGGAAUGCAAAGUCAUGCACAUGACUGUGACUGAUGCAGUAUCUCCAGGACAUGGAGUAGCAUUUCGGGACCUACAGCAAGACGUUGGAUGAAGGCACAGGCCUAGGAAUCAUGCACAUACACAGAAACAUUUGCCCAAAUUCUAGAGGUAACCUCCUUUAGUAUGCCCAGAGGAAGGGCCAUACAGUAGCCAUGGAUUCCCUACAGGUUUCCUCCCCUCUGGAGGUUUUUCCUGUCCUGAGUAUUAGUUACUGUACGCUCUUUGUGAGUGAUGGAAGGUUACAAAAAAUCCCCUACACAAACAUUUUAAUAAAUAAUAAAUAAAGUUCCCCUUUUUUUAAACUGUU